GAGUUUGAUCCUGGCUCAGAACGAACGCUGGCGGCGUGCUUAACACAUGCAAGUCGAACGUGAUCCGGAGCUUGCUCCGGUGAAAGUGGCGCACGGGUGAGUAACGCGUGGAUAAUCUGCCCUGGUAUCUGGGAUAACAUCUCGAAAGGGGUGCUAAUACCGGAUAAGCCUACGGGAUCCUCGGAUUCUGCAGGAAAAGGUGGCCUCUAUUUAUAAGCUACCGUAUCAGGAUGAGUCCGCGUACCAUUAGCUAGUUGGUGGGGUAAUGGCCCACCAAGGCUACGAUGGUUAGCUGGUCUGAGAGGAUGAUCAGCCACACUGGAACUGAGACACGGUCCAGACUCCUACGGGAGGCAGCAGUGGGGAAUUUUGCGCAAUGGGGGAAACCCUGACGCAGCAACGCCGCGUGAGUGAUGAAGGCUUUCGGGUCGUAAAGCUCUGUCAGAGGGGAAGAAAUGAAACGUGCUAAUAUCACGUUUUCUUGACGGUACCCUCAAAGGAAGCACCGGCUAACUCCGUGCCAGCAGCCGCGGUAAUACAAGGGCGMMYYS
rnacentral:rRNA from 1 species